rnacentral:rRNA from 1 species
GACGAACGCUGGCGGCGUGCUUAACACAUGCAAGUCGAACGGAAAGGCCCUGCUUUUGUGGGGUGCUCGAGUGGCGAACGGGUGAGUAACACGUGAGUAACCUGCCCUUGACUUUGGGGUAACUUCAGGAAACUGGGGCUAAUACCGGAUAGGAGCUCCUGCUGCAUGGUGGGGGUUGGAAAGUUUCGGCGGUUGGGGAUGGACUCGCGGCUUAUCAGCUUGUUGGUGGGGUAGUGGCUUACCAAGGCUUUGACGGGUAGCCGGCCUGAGAGGGUGACCGGCCACAUUGGGACUGAGAUACGGCCCAGACUCCUACGGGAGGCAGCAGUGGGGAAUAUUGCACAAUGGGCGGAAGCCUGAUGCAGCAACGCCGCGUGCGGGAUGACGGCCUUCGGGUUGUAACCCGCUUUCGCCUGUGACGAAGCGUGAGUGACGGUAAUGGGUAAAGAAGCACCGGCUAACUACGU